AUGAUAUUUUUGCUCCACAUACUCUCCAUUUUAACAAUCAUCAAAGAUGUCCAAAUGGAGGUCCAGCUGGUGGAAUCUGGAGGGGAUGUGAGAAGGCCAGGGGAGUCCCUCCGUCUCUCCUGCCAAGCUUCAGGAUUCACCUUCAGCAGCUAUGAGAUGAACUGGCUGAGACAGGCUCCAGGGAAAGGCCUGGAAUGGCUUGCGUGGAUAGAUGACCCUGCAGAUGGGAACACCCAAUACUAUGCCAAUUCAGUGAAAGGUCGUUUCACCAUCUCCCGGCACGAUGCCUCCAGCAUGCUUUAUCUCCAAAUGAGCAGCUUGAAACCAGAGGACACCGCUGUGUAUUAUUGUGCUAGAGAAUCACACAGUGAGAGGAAGCUAUGGUGA